rnacentral:rRNA from 1 species
UGGGGAAUUGUUCACAAUGGGCGCAAGCCUGAUGACGCAACGCCGCGUGGGGGAUGAAGGUCUUCGGAUCGUAAACCCCUGUCGAAUGGGAUGAAAGACUCGCGAGUGAAUACUUCGCGAGAGUGACGGUACCGUUAAAGGAAGCCACGGCUAACUCUGUGCCAGCAGCCGCGGUAAUACAGAGGUGGCAAGCGUUGUUCGGAAUUACUGGGCGUAAAGGGCGCGUAGGCGGCCCUCUAAGUCAGACGUGAAAUCCCCCGGCUUAACCUGGGAACUGCGUCUGAUACUGGAGGGCUUGAGUAUGGGAGAGGGAUGUAGAAUUCCAGGUGUAGCGGUGAAAUGCGUAGAUAUCUGGAGGAACACCUGUGGCGAAGGCGGCCACCUGGUUGGAUACUGACGCUGAGACGCGAAAGCGUGGGGAGCAAACAGGAUUAGAUACCCUGGUAGUCCCUGAGCGGGCUGGCAAGGCGCAU